rnacentral:lncRNA from 1 species
UGUAGUAAAGCCAGCUGAGAUGAAGAACGAGAUCGAGUUCGACAAAUAGUCAAGCACUCCAUUACGAUACAAAUGUAAAAAAAAAAAAAGCUUUAAAUCGCUGAAGGAACAAGAGUUUUUAACAUCUGAAAUAGGAAAAAAAGAAAAGAACAAUUUUCAGGAAUAAUGUAGCACUUAAAACGGUUAUCUUUGGAUAUGACGGUAGUUAGCAUUAAAGUGAUGUUUUGCAUUUUUAAGACGCUGUACAAAUAUUUACUGAUUUCUCAACACCGUCAGGAGGAAGAUAGGGGCUGAGAAAUGUGACAUUCGUGCUGGAUCUCCACGGGCUCCGGAGUUUCUCUUGCGAAUGCAAACGAGAAGCGCUUUGGCCAAGUACUGGGAUGAGGCCCGUAGAGGCUGCUGCAGGAGCUGGAAGGGCUUGGGAAGCUGUUGCAGCUCGUGACCGGGUAAUGAUGACAGCAACGUGCAGCAGAAAGUUUAUUUAGGAUCCCCAGACUGCUGCACAGUACGUUCCUGGGUAUGGCCGUUGUGGAGCUGCAGGGGGAAGGCGCCUGCUUUGCUGGAACAUUUCCUAUCUCAGGAGCUGUUGUUCCCCAUCGCCUGGGGCUUGCGGAUGGAGUUUGCUUGGCACUCACGGAAAGUAUCAGACUUGGCAAUUUUGCGUUGAAGCUGGUAUUCGGUGAACGUUUUUAUCUUCACCAAGAAAGGCAGCAGACAGAAAACAAAAAGAUGAGCGGAAAGCUAUCUCCCACAUCCAACGCUGCAAUCUGGUUUCCUUCCACUUAA